rnacentral:rRNA from 1 species
UACGUAGGGGGCAAGCGUUGUCCGGAAUCAUUGGGCGUAAAGAGCGUGUAGGCGGCUCGGUAAGUCCGCUGUGAAAGUCCAGGGCUCAACCCUGGAAUGCCGGUGGAAACUGUCGAGCUAGAGUCCGGAAGAGGCGAGUGGAAUUCCUGGUGUAGCGGUGAAAUGCGCAGAUAUCAGGAGGAACACCGAUGGCGAAGGCAGGUCUCUGGGCCGAUACUGACGCUGAGGAGCGAAAGCGUGGGGAGCGAACAGG